AACGAACGCUGGCGGCAGGCCUAACACAUGCAAGUCGAACGCCGUAGCAAUACGGAGUGGCAGACGGGUGAGUAACACGUGGGAACGUACCCUUCGGUUCGGGAUAACUCAGGGAAACUUGAGCUAAUACCGGAUACGUCCGAGAGGAGAAAGAUUUAUCGCCGAGGGAUCGGCCCGCGUCUGAUUAGCUUGUUGGUGAGGUAACGGCUCACCAAGGCGACGAUCAGUAGCUGGUCNGAGAGGAUGAUCAGCC
rnacentral:rRNA from 1 species